GACGAACGCUGGCGGCGUGCUUAACACAUGCAAGUCGAACGGUGAAGCAGGAGCUUGCUCUUGCGGAUCAGUGGCGAACGGGUGAGUAACACGUGGGCAACCUGCCCCUGACUCUGGGAUAACUCCUCGAAAGAGGUGCUAAUACCGGAUACGACCACUUCGGACAUCCGAUGGUGGUGGAAAGUUUUUCGGUCAGGGAUGGGCCCGCGGCCUAUCAGCUAGUUGGUGGGGUAAUGGCCUACCAAGGCGACGACGGGUAGCCGGCCUGAGAGGGCGACCGGCCACACUGGGACUGAGACACGGCCCAGACUCCUACGGGAGGCAGCAGUGGGGAAUAUUGCGCAAUGGGCGAAAGCCUGACGCAGCGACGCCGCGUGAGGGAUGAAGGCCUUCGGUUGUAAACCUCUUUCAGCAGGGACGAAGCGAAAGUGACGGUACCUGCAGAAGAAGCACCGGCUAACUACGUGCCAGCAGCCGCGGUAAU
rnacentral:rRNA from 1 species